CAUGCGAGUACAGACGUGUUUCUUACAUUCUUAUAAUUUUCGCGGAAUAUUUAUUUCAUAUUUUUGCUUUGAUUCUUUUAAGACAAAGUAAACUAUUAGUACUGAUAGAAAUGAACAGUUCGAGUAUUUGAAUGCAUACAUAAACCACAAUUAAGUGCAGUUUCCAAAUUACUUAUAUUUUUACGAUAAUGUCUCGACCGACGUGUUGACAAUUGAGUCGUCGCGCAAAACACUGAAUAUUAUAAUUUUUUAAUUAAACCAUGGAGGUUUAUGAUGUGCUGUGGUAAUUUUAUCAAUGACGAUUUUGCUGUUCUUCAUGCAUCGACAAUUUUGCAAUAAAGGGCUGUGAUACUGAAUACAGAUCCAGUUGAUAUUUCAGAUGAAACAAAAUCUUUCAUUGAUAAGAUUUCACAGGAUAGUAUUCACCUGUUUCAAAUAUAAAACUCUACUAAUAAUAAGAAUUUACAAAAAAUGAGUACUUUAUCUACUUUAGACAUAGAAAUAUGGGUGAAUAUGACUUUACAAGAAAUUGACUCUCUACUAUUGAAGCUUAAUUAUAAAUUAUUUUCUGAUAUGCCAUUGGUCAUAAAAAAUAAACAUUGCCAUGUGUUGAAAUCUUUAGAGCUCCAAAAAAAAUUGUUUAUAAAAAUAAAAGUUUUUAUGUUUAUAAUAAUGUAUUCAAUCAAUAAUAAAGAAAGAACAUACUUAGAAUUAAUGAAGACUUUAUCUUCUCUUAAUGAAUCAUUUAAGGAAGUAAUCGGUCAUAUUCAAACAUUGCAGAAUGAACUUUUAAAUUUAAAACAGAAAUUCAACAAUUAAAUUUAUAUUUAUACAAUGAUCUAUCUACGCAAAAUGAAAAAGGCAAUGAAAUUGAAGACUUAUUAUCUUAGGUAUCAUCGAAUAACUUAGCAAUUUUCCUAUCAUAAUUACAAGCAGCAUUUUACAGUCAUUUUACGAAAGCUAAUAUUGUAACAAUAUUUAAAUAUCUAUAUGAUUUUUCACUUUUGCGAAAGCUUGUUAAAAUUUAUCCCGGAAAAUAUUGGGCUUCGAAGCAUUAUCAUCGCUUUCUUCGCUUUCUUUUUGCAGUAAAAAUUUAUGUCGGUAAAAAAAUAAAGAAGAAAUGUCUUUAUUUUGCGAAGAUUUUUACUUUCUUUGAAAUCGGACAGAUCUACAUUAAUAAAAGAUUCCCUGGUAUAGCGACAAUUAAAAUUGACUGCUUAUAAAUUUAUCAGCAGUAACAAAUAGCUAUGUCUUUAAUAUAAAAACAAUAUUACCUAUGACGUUGUCUUCAUAUGUUUCUUUUCACCCUUAAAAAAACUUUACUAUGAAGAUUUAUGUAUUAGAUCAUAAUUGUGCAGUCCAUAUUAAUAAUACACGUAAUGCCAAUAGGUUUAAUUUUUGCAAAAAGACAAACAAAGAUAAAUUAUAAAAUAGAAUCGUUUAAAAAUAUAAAAUCUUAUUUUAGGAAUAUUAUGCUAGAAUAACUCUAAAUCUUAUAAUUAAAAUAAGUUAAGAAUAAUUAA